rnacentral:rRNA from 1 species
CACGUAGUUAGCCGGCGCUUUCUCUGCACCUACCGUCACUUUCGCUUCUUCGAUGCUAACAGAGGUUUACAACCCGAAGGCCGUCAUCCCUCACGCGGCGUCGCUGCAUCAGGCUUGCGCCCAUUGUGCAAUAUUCCCCACUGCUGCCUCCCGUAGGAGUCUGGGCCGUGUCUCAGUCCCGGUGUGGCCGGUCACCCUCUCAGGCCGGCUACCCGUCGUCGCCUUGGUAAGCCAUUACCUCACCAACAAGCUGAUAGGCCGUGAGCCCAUCUAAAACCACUCCAUAACGCUUUCCACCAACACCCCAUGCGGAGAUUGGUCGUAUCCGGUAUUAGACCCAGUUUCCCAGGCUUAUCCCAGAGUCAAAGGUAGGUCACUCACGUAUUACUCACCCGUUCGCCACUAAUCCACCUAGCAAGCUAGGCUUCAUCGUUCGACUUGCAUGUGUUAAGCACGCCGCCAGCGUUCGUCCUGAGCCAGGAUCAAACUCU